UACGGAGGGUGCGAGCGUUGUCCGGAAUCACUGGGCGUAAAGGGCGCGUAGGCGGCCGGAGAAGUCGGUGGUGAAAGCUCGGGGCUCAACUCCGAGUCGGCCACCGAUACUGUUCGGCUCGAGUUUGGUAGAGGCAGAUGGAAUUCCUGGUGUAGCAGUGAAAUGCGUAGAGAUCAGGAGGAAUACCGAUGGCGAAGGCAGGUCUCUGGGCUGAUACUGACGCUCAUGCACGAAAGCGUGGGGAGCAAACAGG
rnacentral:rRNA from 1 species